rnacentral:rRNA from 1 species
CCUACGGGGGGCAGCAGUGAGGAAUAUUGGUCAAUGGGCGGGAGCCUGAACCAGCCAAGCCGCGUGAGGGAAGAAGGUACAGCGUAUCGUAAACCUCUUUUGUCAGGGAACAAAGGCGGGGACUAGUCCCCGGAUGAGGGUACCUGAAGAAAAAGCAUCGGCUAACUCCGUGCCAGCAGCCGCGGUAAUACGGAGGAUGCGAGCGUUAUCCGGAUGUAUUGGGUUUAAAGGGUGCGCAGGCGGCCUGUUAAGUCAGCGGUAAAAGCCCGGGGCUCAACCCCGGCGAGCCGUUGAAACUGGCGGGCGGGAGUUGGAGAGAAGUACGCGGAAUGCGCGGUGUAGCGGUGAAAUGCUUAGAUAUCGCGCAGAACCCCGAUUACGAAGGCAGCGUACCGGCUCCACACUGACGCUGAGGCACGAAAGCGUGGGUAUCGAACAGGAUUAGAUACCCGGGUAGUC